rnacentral:rRNA from 1 species
UAUAUAAAAGAAAGACGAUUAGACCCUAUUGAACUUAACUGUAGUUAAACUGGGSCAGUAAAUUAAUUAUUAUUUUAAUGAAAUAUUAUACAUAAAUAUCUAAUAAAAUUAAAUGAUUAAGUUACCAUAGGGAUAACAGCGUAAUAAUUUUCUAAAGAUCUUAUUUAAAAUAUAGAUUACGACCUCGAUGUUGAAUUAAUAACCUAAUUAAGGCAAAACUUAAAAAAGGAAGUCUGUUCGACUUUUAAAAAAUUACAUGAUUUGAGUUCAGACCGGUGUAAGCCAGGUCGGUUUCUAUCUUCUAAAAAAUUUUUUACAGUACGAAAGGACCUAAAA